CCUACGGGGAGCAGCAGUAGGGAUUCUUUCACAAUGGGCGAAAGCCUGAUGGAGCAACGCCGCGUGCAGGAUGAAGGCCUUCGGGUUGUAAACUGCUUUUAUAAGCGAGAAAUAUGACGGUAACUUAUGAAUAAGGAUCGGCUAACUACGUGCCAGCAGCCGCGGUCAUACGUAGGAUCCGAGCAUUAUCCGGAGUGACUGGGUGUAAAGAGUUGCGUAGGUGGCAUAAUAAGUAGCUAGUGAAAUCUGGUGGCUCAACCAUUCAGACUAUUAGCUAAAUUGUUAAGCUCGAGACCGUUAGGGGUAACUGGAAUUUCUAGUGUAGGAGUGAAAUCCGUAGAUAUUAGAAGGAACACCAAUAGCGUAGGCAGGUUGCUGGGACGGUUCUGACACUAAGGCACGAAAGCGUAGGGAGCAAACGGGAUUAGAUACCCUUGUAGUC
rnacentral:rRNA from 1 species